rnacentral:rRNA from 1 species
CAAUAGCGUAUAUUUAAGUUGUUGCAGUUAAAAAGCUCGUAGUUGGAUUUCGGAUGGGACUUGCCGGUCCGUCGUUUCGAUGUGCACUGGCCAGUCCUAUCUUGUUGUCGGGGACUAGCUCCUGGGCUUCACUGUCCGGGACUAGGAGCUGACGAGGUUACUUUGAGUAGAUUAGAGUGUUCAAAGCAAGCCUACGCUCUGAAUACAUUAGCAUGGAAUAACACGAUAGGACUCUGGCUUAUCUUGUUGGUCUGUGAGACCAGAGUAAUGAUUAAGAGGGACAGUCGGGGGCAUUCGUAUUUCAUUGUCAGAGGUGAAAUUCUUGGAUUUAUGAAAGACGAACUUCUGCGAAAGCAUUUGUCAAGGAUGUUUUCAUUAA